GAUGAACGCUGGCGGCGUGCUUAACACAUGCAAGUCGAACGGUGAAAGAGAGCUUGCUCUCUGGAUCAGUGGCGAACGGGUGAGUAACACGUGAGCAAUCUGCCCCUGACUCUGGGAUAAGCGCUGGAAACGGCGUCUAAUACCGGAUACGAGCUGCGAAGGCAUCUUCAGCAGCUGGAAAGAACUUCGGUCAGGGAUGAGCUCGCGGCCUAUCAGCUAGUUGGUGAGGUAAUGGCUCACCAAGGCAUCGACGGGUAGCCGGCCUGAGAGGGUGACCGGCCACACUGGGACUGAGACACGGCCCAGACUCCUACGGGAGGCAGCAGUGGGGAAUAUUGCACAAUGGGCGCAAGCCUGAUGCAGCAACGCCGCGUGAGGGACGACGGCCUUCGGGUUGUAAACCUCUUUUAGCAGGGAAGAAGCGAAAGUGACGGUACCUGCAGAAAAAGCACCGGCUAACUACGUGCCAGCCGCCGCAGUAAUAC
rnacentral:rRNA from 1 species